rnacentral:rRNA from 1 species
AGCGAACGCUGGCGGCAGGCCUAACACAUGCAAGUCGAACGAAGUCUUCGGACUUAGUGGCGGACGGGUGAGUAACACGUGGGAACGUGCCUUUAGGAGCGGUAUAACUCAGGGAAACUUGUGCUAAUACCGAAUGUGCCCUUCGGGGGAAAGAUUUAUCGCCUUUAGAGCGGCUCGCGUCUGAUUAGCUAGUUGGUGAGGUAAACGCGCACCAAGGCUACGAUCAGUAGCUGGUCUGAGAGGAUGACCAGCAACAUUGGGACUGGGACACGGCCCAAACUCCUACGGGAGGCAGCAGUGGGGAAUCUUGCGCAAUGGGCGAAAGCCUGACGCAGCCAUGCCGCGUGGAUGAUGAAGGUCUUAGGAUUGUAAAAUCCUUUCACCGGUGAAGAUAAUGACUGUAGCCGGAGAAGAAGCCCCGGCUAACUUCGUGCCAGCCGCCGCGGUAACAC